CUGAUGUAACUUAGCUGUGACAGGAAGAGCAUCUUUUGAAUAUUUUUUAAAGCUGGCAGGACCUUGGAACUUCCUUUAUCUUCAUCCCACUAGAAAUAAGAAAGACCCUGUAUCUGUGUGAGUGCCUAUGAUACAUUGCUCUCUGAUCAUUCUGGUGGCCCUACUGUGAUCUUGUUAAAGACGUCAAACUAUUGAAAUGAGUCAGUGGAAGGCUACAAUGUACAAACUGAAUGCACAACCAGAGAAUAGGUGAUGCUGAUGAGCUUCCUUCAAAGGUGAGGAGUGGCUAUCGCCGUCAGUGCUACAAGUGAUGUUAAAGGCGGAAUGGAUGUUGAUAUUCAUGAAUAACAAAUGUGAAUACAAAUAAUAGUUCCACUUUGACGCCAGAUGAUGCUACUUUCUACUUGGCAUUGAUGCAAGAUGUUUGUAAACUGGAUCUGACGUUUUGGGAUCCACUCUUUGUGGCUUUAGCUGGAGAUCUUUUCGCCUAAUAAAUGCUUGCCAGCCUGUGCUAAUGUGUGUGUGCAUGGUAACAGACGGUUAUUUGUGUAUUUUAGUAUUCAAUCUGUUUUAGGUUAAAUUCCUUGGUGAAGGUCAUCCUCUGAAGGGAGUUUUCAGUCUUUUAGCGCACGGCAUCAAGUAUUCUUUUUUCACUGAACAGUGGGUUAAUUUACAAAACCCUUUAUCGUUCAGUUCUUUUGUCAGUCCAUUCCAGACACAAGCUUUUGUGUGGUCCCACAAGACUAGCAGUUACUCAUCCAUCAUUUCAUGUAGUGUUUGAUUGAAACAGGUUUACCCAAGGACUGUUGCCAGUGAAGUGUUCUUCCCCGUAGUGCCUAGUGUGUGAAGGAGCUUUGCUGUAACUGUCGUCAGUGUUGUGAAUGUUUUGCUAUUUUGUGUGUUAUUAAUUUUGAUGCCAUUUUGUGAUAGUGUUAAUCUUGGUUCUUUUUUGUUUUUGCUGUACUGAGUAUUUUUAUUUGGCUGUAGAUCUAUAAUUAUUUAUUGUAUUACAGCAAUUUUUAUUGCAAAUUUUAU